UACGUAGGGUGCUAGCGUUGUCCGGAAUCAUUGGGCGUAAAGAGCGCGUAGGCGGCUAGGUAAGUCCGGUGUGAAAGUCAAAGGCUCAACCUUUGAAUGCCGCUGGAAACUGUCUGGCUAGAGUCCGGGAGGGGCGAGUGGAAUUCCUGGUGUAGCGGUGAAAUGCGCAGAUAUCAGGAGGAACACCAAUGGCGAAGGCAGCUCGCUGGAACGGUACUGACGCUGAGGCGCGAAAGCGUGGGGAGCGAACAGG
rnacentral:rRNA from 1 species